AGUGAACGCUGGCGGUAGGCCUAACACAUGCAAGUCGAACGGCAGCACAGUAAGCGCUUGCGCUUACGGGUGGCGAGUGGCGGGCGGGUGAGGAAUACAUCGGCAUCUACUUUUUCGUGGGGGAUAACGUAGGGAAACUUACGCCAAUACAGCAUACGACCUAAGGGUGAAAGCAGGGGAUCUUCGGACCUUGCGCGAUUCAAUGAGCCGAUGUCGGAUUAGCUAGUUGGCGGGGUAAAGGCCUACCAAGGCGACGAUCCGUAGCUGGUCUGAGAGGAUGAUCAGCCACACUGGAACUGAGACACGGUCCAGACUCCUACGGGAGGCAGCAGUGGGGAAUUUUGGACAAUGGGCGCAAGCCUGAUCCAGCCAUGCCGCGUGGGUGAUGAAGGCCUUCGGGUUGUAAAGCACUUUUGUUGGGAAAGAAAAGCAGCGUGCUAAUACCCCGCUGUGAUGACGGUACCCAAAGAAUAAGCACCGGCUAACUUCGUG
rnacentral:rRNA from 1 species